UGAGUAAGUCAGAUGGUCGCGGAUCGCAUUUGCGAACGAGGAAAGUCCGAGCUCCGUAGGGCAAGGGUGCUGGGUAAUACCCAGUGGAGGUGACUCCAAGGAAAGUGCAACAGAAAUAAACCGCCAAUCAUUAUUGGUAAGGAUGGAAAGGGGAGGUAAGAGCUCACCGCUUCUCUGGUGACAGAGAAGGCUAUGUAAACCCCACCCGGAGCAAGACCAAGUAGGGAUUUAAAAAGGCGGCUGCCCGUCGCUUCCCGUUGGUAGGUCGCUUGAGCCUACUGGCAACAGUAGGCCUAGAUAGAUGGCUGUCAGAUACAGAACUCGGCUUAUAGACUUACUCAUAAU
rnacentral:RNase_P_RNA from 1 species